rnacentral:rRNA from 1 species
GUGGGGAAUCUUGCGCAAUGGGCGAAAGCCUGACGCAGCCAUGCCGCGUGGAUGAUGAAGGUCUUAGGAUUGUAAAAUCCUUUCACCGGUGAAGAUAAUGACUGUAGCCGGAGAAGAAGCCCCGGCUAACUUCGUGCCAGCAGCCGCGGUAAUACGAAGGGGGCUAGCGUUGCUCGGAUUUACUGGGCGUAAAGGGCGCGUAGGCGGACAUUUAAGUCAGGGGUGAAAUCCCGGGGCUCAACCUCGGAACUGCCUUUGAUACUGGGUGUCUUGAGUAUGAGAGAGGUGUGUGGAACUCCGAGUGUAGAGGUGAAAUUCGUAGAUAUUCGGAAGAACACCAGUGGCGAAGGCGACUCACUGGCCCGUUACUGACGCUGAGGCGCGAAAGCGUGGGGAGCAAACAGGAUUAGAUACCCUUGUAGUCC